AGCGAACGCUGGCGGCAGGCCUAACACAUGCAAGUCGAACGAACCUUUCGGGGUUAGUGGCGGACGGGUGAGUAACACGUGGGAACGUGCCUUUAGGUUCGGAAUAACUCAGGGAAACUUGUGCUAAUACCGAAUGUGCCCUUCGGGGGAAAGAUUUAUCGCCGUUAGAGCGGCCCGCGUUUGAUUAGCUAGUUGGUUGAGGUAAUGGCUCACCAAGGCGACGAUCAGUAGCUGGUCUGAGAGGAUGAUCAGCCACAUUGGGACUGAGACACGGCCCAAACUCCUACGGGAGGCAGCAGUGGGGAAUCUUGCGCAAUGGGCGAAAGCCUGACGCAGCCAUGCCGCGUGAAUGAUGAAGGUCUUAGGAUUGUAAAAUUCUUUCACCGGGGACGAUAAUGACGGUACCCGGAGAAGAAGCCCCGGCUAACUUCGUG
rnacentral:rRNA from 1 species